AUACGUAGGUGACAAGCGUUAUCCGGAUUUACUGGGCGUAAAGGGCGUGUAGGCGGUCUUGCAAGUCAGAAGUGAAAUUCCUGAGCUCAACUCGGGCGCUGCUUCUGAAACUGCAGGACUUGAGUGCUGGAGGGGAUAGCGGAAUUCCUAGUGGAGCGGUAAAAUGCGCAGAUAUUAGGAAGAACACCGGUGGCGAAGGCGGCUAUCUGGACAGUAACGGACGCUGAGGCGCGAAAGCGUGGGUAGCAAACAGGAUUAGAUACUCUGGUAGUCCACGCCGUAAACGAUGAAUACUAGGUGUAGGGGGUAUCGACUCCCUCUGUGCCGCAGUUAACACAAUAAGUAUUCCGCCUGGGGAGUACGGCCGCAAGGUUGAAACUCAAAUGAAUUGACGGGG
rnacentral:rRNA from 1 species